AACAGGAUUAGAUACCCUGGUAGUCCACGCUGUAAACGGUGGGUACUAGGUGUGGGGUCCAUUCCACGGGUUCCGUGCCGUAGCUAACGCUUUAAGUACCCCGCCUGGGGAGUACGGCCGCAAGGCUAAAACUCAAAGGAAUUGACGGGGCCCCGCACAAGCGGCGGAGCAUGCGGAUUAAUUCGAUGCAACGCGUAGAACCUUACCUGGGUUUGACAUGGAUCGGGAGUGCUCAGAGAUGGGUGUGCCUCUUUUGGGGUCGGUUCACAGGUGGUGCAUGGCUGUCGUCAGCUCGUGUCGUGAGAUGUUGGGCUAAGUCCCGCAACGAGCGCAACCCUUGUUCACUGUUGCCAGCACGUUAUGGUGGGGACUCAGUGGAGACCGCCGGGGUCAACUCGGAGGAAGGUGGGGAUGACGUCAAGUCAUCAUGCCCCUUAUGUCCAGGGCUUCACGCAUGCUACAAUGGCUGGUACAGAGAGUGGCGAGCCUGUGAGGGUGAGCGAAUCUCGGAAAGCCGGUCUCAGUUCGGAUUGGGGUCUGCAACUCGACCUCAUGAAGUCGGAGUCGCUAGUAAUCGCAGAUCAGCAACGCUGCGGUGAAUACGUUCCCGGGGCUUGUACACACCGCCCGUCAAGUCAUGAAAGUUGGUAACACCCGAAGCCGGUGGCCUAACCGUUGUGGGGGAGCCGUCGAAGGUGGGACUGGUGAUUAGGACUAAGUCGUAACAAGGUAACC
rnacentral:rRNA from 1 species